GUCCACGGCCAUACCACCCUGAAUGCACCUGAUCUCGUCUGAUCUCAGAACAUUGGGGAAGAUAGAAAAGUUUGAGGGAACCCAUAAGAAAACUACUAGAAUUAAUAAGAGACUUGAACA
rnacentral:rRNA from 1 species